UGCCAGCAGCCGCGGUAAUACGGAGGGGGUUAGCGUUGUUCGGAAUUACUGGGCGUAAAGCGCGCGUAGGCGGACUAUUAAGUCAGGGGUGAAAGCCCGGGGCUCAACCCCGGACGUGCAUUUGAAACAGCAAGGCUUGAGUACGGGAGAGGAGAGAGGAAUUCCUGGUGUAGAGGUGAAAUUCGUAGAUAUCAGGAGGAACACCGAUGGCGAAGGCAUCUCUCUGGACCGAUACUGACGCUGAGGCGCGAAGGCGUGGGUAGCGAACGGGAUUAGAUA
rnacentral:rRNA from 1 species